UUUGACUUAUUGUUUCCAUUUCACAUUUUCCAUAUUUCACUAGCUUCUCCUUUCGCACACCAUCACCUCCAUAACUAGAUCUGGAAGAAGACUAUUAGCACUACAAUUAGAACUGCAAUUAUGAUUGAUUUUUUGGUUGAAAAAUAGAAGGUAACUUUAAUUUUAAUUAGCGUUGUUAUUCCUUUUUAAUUCUUUUUUGUAGAACGGAUUUUUAUAUGAUAGACUGGAUAAUAUGGUGAGACGUUAAUUCAUGUUUCUUCUUCUUUAUUUAUGUUACUCGCCUAAAUGGACACAUGAAAGAAAAUGUUUCAAUUUAUUAUCAAUUAUAAAUAUUUGAAAGUAUUUUUAUAUAUUCCUUCCUUUGGAAAAGUCUACAACAUUAUGUAAGAUGUGUGUUCUUUAUCCAAUAUCAUGUAAGUUUUUUGUAAAACUUUAUUUCGUUACAAAAGGGUUGAUUUUUGUAGUAUUUUGAUUAUUUAUUAUGAUUUUAUAAUAGUUUGGUACAUUGUAAACCCUACAAUGGCUUGAGGUAAAUUUCCUCAUGGAAUAACAACCUAUGUACUACUUUCAAUAUUAGUGCUUCCUAAUAAAUUUAUUUUAUUACCUAUUUAUGUUAUUAUUGAAGAGCUCUUAUCAAGCUACUAUACAAUGAUGGAUCCGAAAAUGGUGAACUCUCAUAUUGAGACUGUUGAAGUCCUAUGGACAUAGGUGUACCAAUUGGCUUAGCACCAUCCAUAUUGGCAGGGGCAAGGGGUUCUCGUAUGUACUGUGAUUGAGUAAGUGUAAUACCUCUUAUUAGUCUUAGCUCAAUUCAGCUCUCAGUGCAUGUAUAAGAGGCUUAGAGCCUGAAAAUUUGGCUAAGUAUUGAAGACUUAGUCUUAUUUUCCAGCCUCUCAACUUCAAUGACCUUUAAAGUGACCUUACCGACUCCAAGAUGUAAGUUUUUGGAUUGAUUCAUAUUUAGGGGUGUAAAUAGCAUGUCUCGGGUAUGUUUUGAAUUUUUUGAAUGAGGUUUGGAUCACAUUUUGAUUUCCAAAAUUGUAGCUCACCGCGAUUGGACCGCAUCACGGUGAGUAUAGCAAUGGAGGGGUCACCGCAUCGCGGUGAUGAACAAAAAGGAAAUUGUCAGAUUCCAGUGGUGUAAUCAUGGUGGAAAUCACAAUGACAACCUUGGCACAUCGCGGUGAUGGUCAAAUCCAGGUUUCAAUAUUGAAUUUUUAAUCUCCCAGGGGCAGUUUAGUCUUUUUCAAUGAUCCCAAUCCGUGAAAACACGAAAUUGAAUCCUCCAAAAGCAUAUUUGGCCACCUUUUACUCAAAUUAUCUCAAUUGAAAAUCAUUCUCUCCCAAAGAACCAGCCCUAGCUCUUCAAAGAUUUAAGCUUGAGUUCAAGAAAAACCACCAAGAACUUUCACGAAUUCUCAAAGUAAGGUAUGUUAGAUGUUCAUCUAUGAGUCUCUUUUACCCAUGGAGUCCAAGAACCCAAUUUCAAAUUCAAAGUUAUAAUUUUUAUGUGUUAUGAUAAUUUUAACCAUGAAUUCCCAUGAAUCUCGAUUCCAUAUAAUAUUUACACGUAUAUUAAACCCCACACAUUUGAAUGUUGUUGUUCACUGAAAUAAACCUUAAUUGGUGAUUGUAGUAUUGAAAUCAUGCCAUUACUACUCAUUUAAAACUAUUCCCAUGCUUAAGCCAUGCAUUGUAAGUGUUUAAUGAAAUGCCUCAAAGAAUGAGUUUUAGAAUGCUAACUGCAUGCCAUGUCCUCAAAGUUUUAGUAUGAUCUUAUUCUUAUUGCUAUCAAGUUCUGGGGGUUUGAAUACCCAAAAUUAGGUGUUUAUAUACUUUUAUUACAAAAAAAUGAUUUCAGUUAUAACUUGAGCAUAGUUGAUUUCUCAGUUAUUAUUAUCAUGAUGAGCGCUAUCAAAUUUAUAAUCUGGUGAACUCAGUUCAGUCUAAUAAUCAGUGUCAUUUAGUUGGGAGUAAUACUUAGCACUAAGUGAAUGUAGGGAUAGUUCCUCCCUCGUUAGUUAGGCAUGAGGCACUAGUAGUAGUUCCUAGGUUUUCAAACCUACGACGCCACCAUAGAUUUUGAGAGGUCCCCCGUCCAUUAGGCAUGAAACCCUCGUCCUUCAAAAAUUCAGAUUUGUGAAUCCACACAGCCAGUUUUAGUACCCAUGGCAUGGUACUGACACCCUUCUAGCUGGGAUUACAGGUUAGACACUGAUAUCAUAUUAGGGCACAUCAGUUAUAGCUAGUUCCCAUACUUUCAGUCUAAUAUCUAGUUCAGUAUUCAGUCUCAGAUUUCCUUGGCCAUAACAUAUAGAUAUCAGUUUCUCAAUCAUCAGUAUCCAGUAAUUCAGUUUACAAACUAUUUCAUAUUUAUGUUUUAUGCUUGGUUAUGCAUUCUCAGUCUUUACAUAUUUUAUGCAUUUGUAUUCAGUACUUCAUGUUACUCAUCCAGUCAGUUAUUAGUCAUACACAUGAACUUAUGCAUUUCAGCCUAACCUCAUCUAAUGUACUAGUACAUUCAAAGUACUAAUCGCAUACUUAUUUCUUGCGCUAUGAUGUUUAAUGUCAUAGGUUCGGACAAUCAAAUCCCAGUCUGCGCGUAGAUAGACCAGAUUAUCAGCUACAGCAGUGGUGAGUCCUCAUAUAAUGAGGACAUAGUUUAUUUAUCUCAUUCUACCUUAUCAGUUUAGUGUUUUCUAUUUUGUCGAAGUUAGUUGGGGGUUUGUCCCAUCAACUCCACAUUCAGAUAGAUUAGAGGCUUUUAGACUAGUACAAAUAAUCAGACAAUUUUCAUUUAUUAUUAUCAACCAUUUUAUCAAUAUUGUAAGUAUUGCUUUAAAG
rnacentral:lncRNA from 1 species